UACGUAGGGGGCUAGCGUUGUCCGGAAUCAUUGGGCGUAAAGAGCGUGUAGGCGGUCCGGUAAGUCCGCUGUGAAAGUCGGGGGCUCAACCCUCGAAUGCCGGUGGAUACUGUCGGGCUAGAGUGCGGAAGAGGCGAGUGGAAUUCCUGGUGUGGCGGUGAAAUGCGCAGAUAUCAGGAGGAACACCUAUUGCGAAGGCAGCUCGCUGGGACGUAACUGACGCUGAGACGCGAAAGCGUGGGGAGCAAACAGG
rnacentral:rRNA from 1 species